AAAUUGCCAGAACUGCAAGUAUAACCCUAGAUAAAGAUAUGACCCUAUUCCUAGCUCUUCAGGAAAUUGGUUUCCAGCACCAUCUCAUAUUUUCUAAAAUGACAUCUUAUAUAACAUCGAGUGCUACAUGAGAGAGAUGAAGACGUAAAUCUACCAUGGUACAAAAACAUCUAAGUGAUGGCAUAGGCUUGAAAUAAAUGCUAGUCAUGUUUGAUCAAAGUGGUUUAAAGCACACUCGAGAUUUUUUUUUCUCCUAAUUUUUAUGCAUUUUCUUACAAGCCAUUUUCUUCUUUUCCAGGUCAUUUGAUUUCCCUUUACGUCUUUCUCAAUACCUAGAUUCUAAGCCUUGGAAAACGAUUGUUAUUUUCUGAUAUGUUUUGGUAGAGUGCUUGGGACAGCUGUGGCUGCAGCCUCGCCAAGCCUGCACACUGACCAGUACAGGAGACUCAUGGAUCGUAUGAGUAAAGGCAUACACCACACAAAGUGUCAGUAACACAAGGGAGAAGUGCCUUCCUUUGUCCUCCUCCCUCCCUACGACCUUCUAUUUCGUCCUUCAGAAUUGUUAAUUCCCAUUCAUUGACUGUUUUCUAAAUAUUAUCAUAACAUAAAUCACAUUGACAUCUACAGAUAUGAAUCUGUGAUUCAUAUUAGAAAUGAACCAGAAGCACACGCACACUUGGAUGCAUAAUUUGGUGUGGUUAGCUAAGUUCGUGUCACUUAAUUUCAAAGACUGCCGUCUGUCUUCUUCAAUACUGUAGAGAGAUCAGACAUCAAGGGUCUGAUAAACAUUUUUUUAUUCAAAGCCAAGUUAUUAGCAGAGGUUAACAGUGAAUUUUACAGAUUUUGACUUUACAUUGAAAAGGAAAACAAACUGGGUAUGAAAAAAAUGGUAGCAGUUCAAAAGUAAUUUUCUGCACAUUGGAUGAAUGAUAGAAACAUUACAAUGACUUUCAGCAGACAGAAGUCCUGUUCCCAAUCUGCCGCUCUCUAUUCCUGCUUCCAAUUUGUUUUCACUAGAGAAGCAAUAUCAGUGGGCCGUGCUAGCGACAAGAAUAUCUCAUUCUCCCACUUCUCUUCAGACUUCAUUCAGGGAUGUGACACCUUCUGCUCCUCUAUCCAUGAUCUCCCACAAGCUUGGGUUCCCACACAACAGGUAAAAUAGCUUUCUCUAGUCUAGCUCUUCACUUUUUUUUUUUUUUACUUUUUUUUUUUCUUUUCCUAUCUGAAGCAAGAUUUUUAAGAGGAAAGAUUAAUAUCCAGCACAGUGUUGAGCCAAAACACUGUCUUUUCUCUGAUUUAAUAUCCCCCACACCUUGACAGUGACAAUACUCCUGAGAAGGAAGGCUGUUUUGAGUUUUUAUUCAUAGCUAGGCUUCUGAACGUGAAUGCUGGUGCCUUAGCUUUGGUGGGAAUUAUAUGAAAUAUACUAAUGAGUGGGCUUCUCUUGUUCUGUCUGAACCAUGGCUUGUCUACAGAGGCUGUCAGUCAGCCUCACUUUGGUGAUUAGCACCUUCUUUUACCUUCCAGCUAAAACAUGUAUUCCCUGGUCUCCUUAUAGGAAAAUGAGAAAAAAACACUGAAAGUGUUUUUGCUAACGUGGCCAUUUUGACUGGCUUAAGGUCAGUGGCCAGGGUAGAAACCUUUUCCAGUGGGAGAAACCUUGUGUCUAACCCUUAGGAAGCAGAUUGUUAUACUUGUGGCAUGUGUGCUGUCAAGGCAGGGGCAGUAAUACAGAUGCCAUUGAACCAGUCAGGACAGGUUUGAACUUGUGUUUUGUGAAGAGGAGCUGCAAAGUUUCUGGCCACAGAGAGCAGUUGGUCUAGGAAACACAAACUGCAGGGAAAACAAGGAAAUACUGGUAAAGACCAGCUGAUGGGAUCAAAGGAAUUUUCAGUAGGUUUUGAUAAUGAGCAUUUUUCCAUGCAUACUUAUAAGUAAUCAGAUAAGAUGUAUAAAUUAUCUAAAUUAGUAACACUUUGAGGGUGAAUUCCAAAAGCAAGUAAUUGUUCUUUAUCCUCCCAUGGAGAACAUCCCAAACAUCCAGGGGUGAGAGGAAGUAGUGCCACCAUUGCUUCCUUAUCUCACAGCUGCAGUCUGGAAAGCAGAGCUGUGUGGGCUGUGUCAGAUUGCUCACCUUCAGCUCCUUUUCUCUUUCCUCCAGGUGAGAAUAAAGCAAGAGCAGUGUGGGAGGGGAAAUCA
rnacentral:lncRNA from 1 species